rnacentral:sRNA from 1 species
AGGCGGGACGACUGCUUGCAGGCAGGAACGCCUAUGUAUUAGACGGGCAAACAGACAUGAGCAGGCAGGGCAUCAGCCCAGAAUGCGAAUGGCUGUAGCGAUUCGAGAGUGCGAAGCGCGGAGAAGCGCGU